CCUACGGGUGGCUGCAGUGGGGAAUCUUCCGCAAUGGACGAAAGUCUGACGGAGCAACGCCGCGUGAGUGAUGACGGCCUUCGGGUUGUAAAGCUCUGUUAAUCGGGACGAAAGGCCUUCUUGCGAAUAGUGAGAAGGAUUGACGGUACCGGAAUAGAAAGCCACGGCUAACUACGUGCCAGCAGCCGCGGUAAUACGUAGGGGGCAAGCGUUGUCCGGAAUUAUUGGGCGUAAAGCGCGCGCAGGCGGAUAGGUCAGUCUGUCUUAAAAGUUCGGGGCUUAACCCCGUGAUGGGAUGGAAACUGCCGAUCUAGCGUAUCGGGUAGGAGAGUGGAAUUCCUAGUGUAGCGGUGAAAUGCGUAGAUAUUAGGAAGAACACCAGUGGCGAAGGCGACUUUCUGGACGAAAACUGACGCUGAGGCGCGAAAGCCAGGGGAGCGAACGGGAUUGGAUACCCCAGUAGUA
rnacentral:rRNA from 1 species